rnacentral:lncRNA from 1 species
GUUUAUUUCACAAGUGUCCUUUCUCAAAUCUGCAAAAUGUUAAUUUUUAUGUCCGAAGUGAAGAAAUUGGAGAUGAGUACCUCUGCGAUACAUUUUUCGGUCUGUGUUAUAUACUUUCAACUAUUUCUUAUUUGACAAUCUGAACUUAGAUUUGAACAUUUCUACAUUCAUGCUUCUCAAUUCUUCUCUGAAAGCUUGGCAAGAUUAUCAUUACUCAUCAUUGGCAUAUAAUUGGUCUUUUUUUUAGGGAUAGUGUUGGGGCAUGAGUGUGAAGCAUUUAAGAUUCCAGAGUAAUGCUCUUUGCCAUCCCCAAGGAUGAGGAAUUCUUGACAAGCUUGGUUUGCCACUUCUUUUGUUAUAAUUUAUUAUUUCCAUUUUCUUGCUAUUAUUUAGGAAAUGGCUGUUUGCGUACAUUUUUUUGCUCUAUUUACUCUUGUUUUAUGAAGAAUUGUUUGCCUAAAUUUUGGAUAUAAUUCUAAAUUGGAUGAUUGAGAGAUGUGUUUAUUUAUUUUUCAGCGAGUUGAAGUCUUUGGAUAUGUAGAACAAAUUACGAUUCUUGAUUAAAUUAAAUGGUUGAGAACGGAGAACACAUCCAGAUAAAUCAAAUUUCUUCAAUUUCUUCAAUGAGUCAGUCUUUAUAAUAAAAUUUCUUCAGUGAGUCAUUCUUUAUAAUUUCUAUUUCUUUGUUUGGUAAUUCAGAGAAGCGUUUAUCCGUUUUGCAGCGGGCUAAGAAGUUUCGAUAUCUAGAAUGUGUUGAUAAAAUGGACAAGAACAUGUAGCCAAGAGUUUUAAUUUGGUGAUCUCUGGUAAAUUCUUUUUGUUUCAAUCUUUAUCGAUUUUGAGAGCAUAUAUUUCCUGAUUUUGAGAGUACUGUGUAUGAUUUUGAUUUACGUCUUGAUUUGCUUUUUUAUGAAUUUCAUAGAAUCAAACUUCUCUUGACUCUUCUUUUACUCAUCAAGAUUUUGUAUAAUUUUUUUAUAUAACUCUUUGUUUGGUAAUCGAGAGACGCGUGUAUCUGUUUUGCAGCGGGCUAAGAAGUUUCGAUGUCUAGAAUGACUUGAUAAAAUGGACAACAAUGAAGAAAGAUUCAAUAUAGAUAAAUCAAAUUUCUUCAUGUUCUGUAUUCUUAUUCUUUUCUGCUUGAUAAUUUGGUAUUUUGGUUGUGCUUGGUUUCAUUCUUGGAGUUGCUGGUUUUAUUGUUUGAUUUAAUUAAUAUUAUUAUCAAGUUCAUUUUGGUUUUAAUAGACUUGUUCUUCCAAUUCCUCUUAUUUUUCAGAUAUUAUUCUUCGAGUACAAAUGGGUGUUUUGCUUUUAAUCUGUUGGCAACACGCUGGAGUUCUGAUUUGAAUUUUUCCUUUUUACGAAGCUUGAUGCAUGAUUAUCACCCUCUGGUUGAAGUUUUUGUGAAGCUUACUGCAGGGUAUUGUGUUUUGACAUCAUUAGAUAUAUUUUGGUAAACUUUUCAAUUCCUCUAUUCUCUUUGGACUCAAGCCUUGGUCUGUUUUCUUAUAUUGGGACUCAAUUCCUCUAUUCUCUCUUUGUAACUAUGAUAUUCUGAUCAGCGACUUGGUUUGGAGAAUUAUGCUACUAUUAUUUCUUUAUUCUUGGUUUUUUUACAACUACUUGUAAUAGUGUAAUUUUGUUGUACAUAUCUGAUGUUCACAGGGUUACAUGGAUUUAUUGCAUUUCAUAAGUGUGUCCUUUUUCAAUUGCACUGCAACAUGUUAAUUUUAUUGU